GAAUGAGAUUUUUCAUCAUCAGAUCGGCCAUAUAUUUUACCAAAAUCCGAAUGUCAGAAUGAUCCAAUGGUAGAAAAGCAUGUUCGCACAUGGAACGUGCUCUCCGUAGACAAACCUUUAUUGCAAGCCCAACCUCAUUUAUUGAUACGACCAAAGACCGUCGUCAUGAUACCAUAUUUGAAGCCAUUAGGAGAGAAAGGCGGCCAGCCAUUUUUCAGUGAAGGGUUGUAUUAUUUUGCAUGAAGCUCCCAAGUUUUCUUAUCUUCUUCCGUAUGGCUUCCUGGCUAUUUGGUCCUAAAAGGAGUUGAGGAUUGGAGUUGUCACAUGAAACAAGUUUUGGUUGAUCAUGCCCUUGCUAAUGCUAUGGAACUUGACCCUCCAAGUUAAAUUUUGUACCAAAGUUCGCAAGCUAGAAGAAGACAAGGUUCCACCAUCAAUUGAAUGGCCAUUAGGUGAAAGAGAAGUCUCAGGAUCUUUGCCUGCUAACCAAUGGCUUCAAUUAACGUCCCUAUCUAUCCUACUCUUUGUUGUUCUUUUUCUUAUUGAUGAAGAGAUUGGUAACCAGAAGGCCAACAGAACUUUUGUUGUAUGGUGCCCCUCUUUGUUAUUAUCACUCCAGAAACAAAAGAAAGAACGCUGAUUUGUGUUA